CCUGUGAUGGGGUACUGCCAAGAACUCCGGAGAUCCCGCCACAUUAUGGCUUUGGCCAUACCGAGAGCUCUCCACUGAGAACGUCAGGCAGAAGAGACCUGGGGCUGGUUGCCUGAGUACUGCCAGGGGAAACGAGAAGAGGAGCAAGCAGUACAGUUGUCCUUAGAUAUGUUUCGAAGUGAUUGAUGCUACUUGUAAUAGAGUGCGGAAAAGUUCAAGGCGAAGAAACCAUAGCAGUAAAGAUAAUCAGGGAGCAAUGGAAACUUCAUCACCUCACUUCCGCGAUUGCUAGAGCAACAGUCAGAGGCUCAACAAGAGGCUGGAAGAACAUUGUGGUCUCCACCUCGCAGAAUAGCAGAUAUCUGGAGAAGACGCCAGGACAGCAGAAGAUGCUUUUUUUCUCAAGUGCGCGUGGAACAUUCCUUACAACAUUAGACACAAAAGGAAGCUUAGUUCAUCUACAAGGAUUAAAAAUACGACGUAUGUUCUAUGACCAUGAUUAAACGAGUUUGAAAAAAGAAUAUUAGAGCCUUCUGCAUUAAGAGGAGAAACGGGAUCUGCUCGGUGCUCCCACGUAGGGAUGCUUGGGACACGAUUUAGGAAAGAGCCUGAAUUCUUGGGGUCUAGGUUUCAUUAUCUGGGGCCUACUGCCUGCUGCGCUGUCUGCCACCGA
ensembl:lncRNA